CCCUUAGAUGUUCUGGGCUGCACGCGCGCUACACUGACAUACUCAGCAAGUUUCCUUUCCCGAAAGGGUUGGGUAAUCUUGUUAGUGUAUGUCGUGAUGGGGAUAGAAUAUUGUAAUUAUUGCUCUUUAACGAGGAAUUCCUAGUAAGCGCAAGUCAACAGCUUGCGCUGAUUACGCCCCUGCCCUUUGUACACACCGCCCGUCGCUCCUACCGAUUGGGUGAUCCGGUGAAUGGUUCGGACUCUGGCUAUGCUAGCUACUAGCUACGUCAGGGAAAGUUCUGUGAACCUUAUCACUUGGAGGAAGGAGAAGUCGUANCA
rnacentral:rRNA from 1 species